rnacentral:rRNA from 1 species
GACAGAGGGUGCAAGCGUUGUUCGGAAUUACUGGGCGUAAAGCGCGUGUAGGCGGCCCUGCAAGUCGGGCGUGAAAUCCCACGGCUCAACCGUGGAAGUGCACUCGAAACUGCAGGGCUAGAGUCCUGGAGAGGAAGGUGGAAUGCUUGGUGUAGAGGUGAAAUUCGUAGAUAUCAAGCGGAACACCGGUGGCGAAGGCGGCCUUCUGGACAGUGACUGACGCUGAGACGCGAAAGCGUGGGGAGCAAACAGG